rnacentral:rRNA from 1 species
GACGAACGCUGGCGGCGUGCCUAAUACAUGCAAGUUGAGCGCUGAAGGUUGGUACUUGUACCAACUGGAUGAGCAGCGAACGGGUGAGUAACGCGUGGGGAAUCUGCCUUUGAGCGGGGGACAACAUUUGGAAACGAAUGCUAAUACCGCAUAAAAACUUUAAACACAAGUUUUAAGUUUGAAAGAUGCAAUUGCAUCACUCAAAGAUGAUCUCGCGUUGUAUUAGCUAGUUGGUGAGGUAAAGGCUCACCAAGGCGAUGAUACAUAGCCGACCUGAGAGGGUGAUCGGCCACAUUGGGACUGAGACACGGCCCAAACUCCUACAGGAGGCAGCAGUAGGGAAUCUUCGGCAAUGGACGAAAGUCUGACCGAGCAACGCCGCGUGAGUGAAGAAGGUUUUCGGAUCGUAAAACUCUGUUGGUAGAGAAGAACGUUGGUGAGAGUGGAAAGCUCAUCAAGUGACGGUAACUACCCAGAAAGGGACGGCUAACUACGUG